UUGCUGUAGAUCAUGCAGAUCUUGCUCAUUUCCUCUUGUGGUUCUAGGUGCAAUAUCUGCAAACACAAGCCUCCAAAGAAGGGUUUGAGGCCUGUUUCUUGUAUUGACUUCCCUAAGGAACUUGAAUACAAAA